rnacentral:rRNA from 1 species
UGAGUUACACUUUAAAUCCCUUUAACAAGGAUCCAUUUGGAGGGCAAGUUCUGGUCGCCAGCAGCCGCGGUAAUUCCAGCUCCAAUAGCGUAUAUUAAAGUUGUUGCGGUUAAAAAGCUCGUAGUUGGUUCUGCGUGCCGCGCUGUCGGUUCGCCGCCUGUCGGUGUUACUGGCAUGUCGCGGCAUGUCCUGUCGGUGGUGAAUGAAAUCCCCGGUGCUACGUAGGCUUUUAUUAGCUGAAGUUUGUGCCGUGGUGACUUCAUUUGCCGAUUUCUCCUACUCCGGUGCUCUUAAACGAGUGUCGAGGUAGGCCGACACGUUCACUUUGAACAAAUUAGAGUGCUUAAAGCAGGCUAAAAUAUCUGCCUGAAUAGUGGUGCAUGGAAUAAUAAAAUAGGACCUCGGUUCUAUUUUAUUGGUUUUAGGAAUAUGAGGUAAUGAUCAAUGUGGACUGGCGGGGGCAUUCGUAUUGCGACGUUAGAGGUGAAAUUCUUGGAUCGUCGCAAGACGCACUAGAGCGAAAGCAUUUGCCAAGUAUGUCUUAAUUGAUCAAGAACGAAAGUUAGAGGUUCGAAGGCGAUCAGAUACCGCCCUAGUUCUAACCAUAAACGAUGCCAGCCAGCGAUCCGCCGAUGUUCCUUUAAUGACUCGGC